UUAUUCAGAUCCUUAUAGUGUAUGUUGGCUAUAGUAGGUUCAUUGUAGGAGUAGAGUGCGUACUUAUAAAGGAUCUAUUGACCUUAGUAUAUAAGGAAUAGUUUUAUGAGAUUUGAGAAGUCAAGUUUAUAAGUCUAUGGCUAUAGCAAGAUGAUUGAUGGAAAGGAGUUUUCAUGAGUAUCACAUUUAGGUUGGAGUUAAUCUAAUAUUUCAUAUAACAGAUGUUGGGGUUUGACGAGUUUCUAUGAUCUCCAUC
rnacentral:lncRNA from 1 species